rnacentral:rRNA from 1 species
UACGGGGGGGGCAAGCGUUGUUCGGAAUUACUGGGCGUAAAGGGCUUGUAGGUGGCCAACUAAGUCAGACGUGAAAUCCCUCGGCUUAACCGGGGAACUGCGUCUGAUACUGGAUGGCUUGAGUUCGGGAGAGGGAUGCGGAAUUCCAGGUGUAGCGGUGAAAUGCGCAGAUAUCAGGAGGAACACCGGUGGCGAAGGCGGUUCUCUGGGCAUUAACUGACGCUGAGGAGCGAAAGCAUGGGGAGCGAACAGG